rnacentral:lncRNA from 1 species
UAAAAACAGACCAGAAGCUUUGGCCCUGUGUGCCCUACAGUAUGUUCAGCCUUGUUUAGGCUUACUGCAACACUGCAGUCAGAGUUCUUGUUGCCUUGAGGGAAUUUUCUUGUGUUUCUUAAUUUAAUUAAGCAUUUCCCAUUAAGUUUAAUUAUAUGUUAAGAUGGAGAAUUCUUCCUGACCCUACAACAAUAAGCGUUUACAAAACAAAGCACGGUUCUCGCAGAAUUUCUUCUGGGACAUCAUCUUGUUUGACAGAGCAAAUAGUUUAACAAAGAUUUUAAUAUUCUGUGUUUUUGUAAACCUUGUUUCUUUUUAUCUCCAUUCAGCUUACUGGAAUGAAGUUUGGCAGACAAGUUUCCACAACGCAGUCGUUAUUACUAUCAAGAAAUAAGGAUCACACCUACGCUGUCUGAUUUUGUCCAGUAGCGGCUGCAGAACCAAAUACUGUUAUGCUGUGUGAAGAGAUCUCAGCAAAGGGACACGAGUUAAAGAGGAACGAUUACACUGUAAAAAGUCAUAAAACCUUCCAGGAUUAAAAAUCUCAGGAGGUUACACUGUGGCUAUGAGGAGAUUUUUAUAAAGCUUCAAUAUGGAGCCACGCACACAGGAACAACAGAAUGUGGACCCUCACCUUGUUGGCAAUGGUUUUCCCAAGUACACUGGCUCCUGCUUAAUCCAGAGGUUUUAAAACAGAGCUUCAAGCCGCAAGACCGCAAACAGAGACAGCUCUUGUACAGAGUGAAAAAAAUUAGGAGCCUCUAUGGAACAGCUCCGUGCUGACCUUCCUUGUGCUGUGUCCGUACC